AUUGGCAAGAGGGUGUGUGAAGGAAGGAAGGGUGACAAGGAGGAAAGAAGUGUGGAUCUGGAGCUUUAGGAAGGAGGAGCUUGAUGUAGAGAAGGGCAGGAGACUGGAAGGAGGGUGGUUCAGCAGCAGUGAAAGCCCAGUGAAUUCCCAGUUGGGAAUGAUUUCCUUAAAAAAACAAAACAAAACAAAAACUUGUGUAGCCUGGAGAGCCCACCGUGAGAACUGCAAAUGCUGGGAACUGCAAAAAGUUUUUCCUUCUCAUUCUCUAAGGGGAAGAGAAGUGAUGUGAAAAGGGAGUGAGAAUGGAUCACAUGAGAGGAUGUUUGUGAAAACACCCUGUAAGGCAUACAAAAAAGUUAUUAAUAGAGGACAAAGGUAAGUGGGAUGACAGGUUUGGGGAGGCAGAAAGGAAAGGUAAAGUAGAAAGAGACAGUGGAGAGUGUGUCUCUGGUGAUACCUUACUUUUCUUCUCUUACCCAGCCUUGCAACAGGAGAACUUUGGAUCUUUGUGAGCUGUUUCCACCUCUGGAGUUUCUUCUCCUCGCCGGGCGGAGUCCCGCUUUCUGCCGCAAGAGGGCGGUAUGGCCACGCUGAGCUGAGGUGUCCACUGCGGGAUUGAGUGGAUUGGGUUCUGAGAUGCUGAGGAGUGGCCUAGAGUUUAAUCUUGUUCUGAGAGCCAGACCCCAGCCUGUCCAAAUGCUCCUCUGUCUCUGCUACCCCAAGUGAUCCAUGGGGAAACCGUGGAGCGGGAGGGCAGGCAGGGAUUUUGCACGGCGCCAUUCAUCUCUGGUGUAUUCACAUCUGGGGCAUUAGGGUUGGGAAGUUUGGGAGUGCUUUGUUCUGUGGGCUAGUGGAGAAUAAAAUGUGCAUUGUCUUCA
rnacentral:lncRNA from 12 species